rnacentral:misc_RNA from 1 species
GAUGAAGAACGCAGCGAAAUGCGAUAAGUAGUGUGAAUUGCAGACUUUAGUGAAUCAUCGAAUCUUUGAACGCACAUUGCGCCCGCCAGUAUUCUGGCGGGCAUGCCUGUUCGAGCGUCAUUUCAACCAUCAAGCCCCAGGCUUGUGUUGGGGACCUGCGGCUGCCGCAGGCCCUGAAAACCAGUGGCGGGCUCGCUGUCACACCGGGCGUAGUAGAUUUUAUCUCGCUCAGGGCGUGCUGCGGGUUCCGGCCGUUAAAAAGCCUUUUUUACCCAAGGUUGACCUCGGAUCAGGUAGGAAGACCCGCUGAACUUAAGCAUAUCAAUAAGCGGAGGA